rnacentral:rRNA from 1 species
AUGGCGGGGAUACGGUGGCCGCCGGAGGAUCCGGAGAUGUUCCCGACGCGGAUGCUCGGGACCGGGGUCUGGGGCGGCCCCCCCGCCGCGGCCGCGGGGGGAGGGGGAGGCCCCCCGGGCCCGCCCGGCGAGAUGGCGUCGGACGACGACCGCUCCGUGGCGGCCGACUCGUGGUCCAUCAAGAGCGACUACGGCAGCACCCUCGACGACGAGCAGCGCUACGCCGACACCGCCGAGGUGCUCCUCGCCUCCUCCUCCUCCGUGGCCUCCGUCGCCGCGCCCUCCGCCUGCUCCUCCUCCCUCAGCGCCCACCACUCCUCCGACUUCAGCUUUGACAAGGAUGUGCCUGACGUCGUGCCGCCGAUGCUGGGCCUGCACAAUUACCAGGACGGCGCGUACGCCGAAGACCUAGCUAAUUACCAUGGACGCAGCCACGCGGAUGACUGGUUUGGCACCGAGGCCAUGGAUGUCCUUGUAGGCUGGACGAAAAACUUAUGCUUCAGCAAGGAUUUGCCCGGCUGCAGUGUACUUGACAUAGGAACUGGGAGCGGACGACUCUUACAGCAGCUUGCAAAACAAGGGUUUUCUGAUCUAACUGGCAUUGACUAUAGUGAAGCCGCAAUUGAGCUUGCUCGAAACCUUGCAAUUCGUGAUGGAUUUGAGCACAUUAAUUUCCUGGUUGAUGAUGUUCUGGAGUCGAAGUUGGAGAGGAGAUUUGAACUUGUGAUGGAUGAAGGGACUCUGGAUGCAAUAGGGCUCCACCCUGAUGGACCUGUAAAGAGAAUGAUGUAUUGGCAGUCAGUGGCCAGCUUGGUUUCCCCUGGUGGCAUACUGGUCAUCACAUCCUGCAGCAGGACCAAGGAUGAGCUAGUGCAGGAGGUGGAGAACUUCAACCAGAGAAAGUUGGGCGCUAUGGUCUCUGAAGGAGCUCUUGCCAGCGAUGCCGUGGUGUUCAAGUACCUCGACCACGUCCAAGCUUACCCAAACGUCGAUGGUAUUUGCAUCGCCACCGUUGCUUUCCUGCAUACAUGA